rnacentral:rRNA from 1 species
AUUGAACGCUGGCGGCAGGCCUAACACAUGCAAGUCGAACGGUAACAGGAAGAAGCUUGCUUCUUUGCUGACGAGUGGCGGACGGGUGAGUAAUGUCUGGGAAACUGCCUGAUGGAGGGGGAUAACUACUGGAAACGGUAGCUAAUACCGCAUAACGUUGCAAGACCAAAGAGGGGGACCUUCGGGCCUCUUGCCAUCGGAUGUGCCCAGAUGGGAUUAGCUAGUAGGUGGGGUAACGGCUCACCUAGGCGACGAUCCCUAGCUGGUCUGAGAGGAUGACCAGCCACACUGGAACUGAGACACGGUCCAGACUCCUACGGGAGGCAGCAGUGGGGAAUAUUGCACAAUGGGCGCAAGCCUGAUGCAGCCAUGCCGCGUGUAUGAAGAAGGCCUUCGGGUUGUAAAGUACUUUCAGCGGGGAGGAAGGGAGUAAAGUUAAUACCUUUGCUCAUUGACGUUACCCGCAGAAGAAGCACCGGCUAACUCCGUG